rnacentral:rRNA from 1 species
AGAGUUUGAUCAUGGCUCAGGACGAACGCUGGCGGCGUGCUUAACACAUGCAAAGUCGAACGGUGACCUCGGAGCUUGCUCCGGGUGAUCAGUGGCGAACGGGUGAGUAACACGUGAGCAACCUGCCCCCGACUCUGGGAUAACCCCGGGAAAUCGGAGCUAAUACCGGAUACGAGACGUACAGGCAUCUGUUGCGUCUGGAAAGAAUUUCGGUCGGGAUGGGCUCGCGGCCUAUCAGCUAGUUGGUGGGGUAGUGGCCUACCAAGGCGACGACGGGUAGCCGGCCUGAGAGGGCGACCGGCCACACUGGGACUGAGACACGGCCYAGACUCCUACGGGAGGCAGCAGUGRGGAAUAUUGCGCAAUGGGGGCAACCCUGACGCAGCGACGCCGCGUGGAUGAUGAAGGCCCUUGGGUMGUAAAAUCCUGUCAGAUGGAAAGAAAUGUACAGGUGUUAAUAUCGCCUGGUAUUUGACGGUACCAUCAAAGGAAGCACCGGCUAACUCCGUGCCAGCMGCCGCGGUAAUA